rnacentral:rRNA from 1 species
UACGUAGGUGGCAAGCGUUGUCCGGAUUUACUGGGCGUAAAGAGCGCGCAGGCGGCCGUUCAAGUCGCGUGUGAAAGCCCCCGGCUCAACUGGGGAGGGUCACGCGAUACUGAUCGACUGGAAGGCAGGAGAGGGUAGUGGAAUUCCCGGUGUAGUGGUGAAAUGCGUAGAGAUCGGGAAGAACAUCGGUGGCGAAAGCGCUCUACUGGACGGUAUCUGACACUGAGGGACGAAAGCUAGGGGAGCGAAUGGG